GCGGAGGAAAAGAAACUAACAAGGAUUCCCCUAGUAACGGCGAGUGAGCGGGAUGAGCUCAAAUUUAAAAUCUGGCGGCCUCAGGUCGUCCGAGUUGUAGUCUAGAGAAUCGUUUUCCGCGUUGGCCUGUGUACAAGUCCCUUGGAACAGGGCGUCAUAGAGGGUGAGAAUCCCGUCCUUGACACAGAUUACCAAUGCUUUGUGAUGCGAUCUCGAAGAGUCGAGUUGUUUGGGAAUGCAGCUCAAAAUGGGUGGUAAAUUCCAUCUAAAGCUAAAUAUUGGCGAGAGACCGAUAGCGAACAAGUACCGUGAGGGAAAGAUGAAAAGCACUUUGGAAAGAGAGUUAAACAGUACGUGAAAUUGUUAAAAGGGAAACGAUUGAAGUCAGUCAUGCUUUCCGAGACUCAGCCGAUUCUGUCGGUGUACUUCUCGGUUGGCAGGCCAGCAUCAGUUUCGAUCUGUGGAAAAGGUUGGAGGGAACGUGGCAUCUCCGGAUGUGUUAUAGCCCUUCUUCGAAUACAUAGAGCGGGACUGAGGAACGCAGCGCGCCUUUUAUUAGGUUGGCCCUCGGGUACAUACGCGCUUAGGAUGCUGGCAUAAUGGCUUUAAACGACCC
rnacentral:rRNA from 1 species